UACAGAGGUCUCAAGCGUUGUUCGGAUUCAUUGGGCGUAAAGGGCGCGUAGGCGGGCCAACCAGUCAGAGGUGAAAUCUUUCGGCUUAACCGGAAAAGUGCCCCUGAUACGGUUGGCCUCGAGGGAGGUAGGGGCGUGCGGAACUUCCGGUGGAGCGGUGAAAUGCGUAGAUAUCGGAAGGAACACCGGUGGCGAAAGCGGCGCGCUGGACCUCUUCUGACGCUGAGGCGCGAAAGCCAGGGGAGCGAACGGG
rnacentral:rRNA from 1 species